rnacentral:rRNA from 1 species
AUACGGGGGGGACGAGCGUUGUUCGGAUUCACUGGGCGUAAAGGGCGUGUAGGCGGACCUUUAAGUCGGGCGUGAAAUCUCGGGGCUUAACCCCGAGCCUGCGUCCGAUACUAUUGGUCUUGAGUAUGUGAGAGGAAAGUGGAAUUCCAGGUGUAGCGGUGGAAUGCGUAGAUAUCUGGAAGAACACCGGUAGCGAAGGCGGCUUUCUGGCACAAUACUGACGCUGAGGCGCGAAGGCCGGGGGAGCAAACAGGAUUAGAAACCCGUGUAGUCC